CAAGCAGCGGAGCGUGUGGUUUAAUUCGAGGCUACACGAAGAACCUUACCAGGGUUUGACAUGCAAGUGGUAGGAAUCCGAAAGGUGACCGACCCUUCGGGAGCUUGCACAGGUGCUGCAUGGCUGUCGUCAGCUCGUGUCGUGAGAUGUUCGGUUAAGUCCGCUAACGAGCGCAACCCUCGUCGUGUGUUAUACGUGUCACACGAUACUGCCGGUAUCAAGCCGGAGGAAGGUGGGGAUGAUGUCAAGUCAGCAUGGCCUUUAUAUCCUGGGCUACACACACGCUACAAUGGCAGAUACAAUAGGUUGCGAAACCGCGAGGUGGAGCCAAUCCUCAAAGUCUGUCUCAGUUCAGAUUGUAGGCUGCAACUCGCCUGCAUGAAGUUGGAGUUGCUAGUAAACGCAGGUCAGCUAUACUGCGUUGAAUACGUUCCCGGGGUUU
rnacentral:rRNA from 1 species